GAUAACGGCGUCGAGCGGCGGACGGGUGAGUAAUGCCUAGGAAAUUGCCCUGAUGUGGGGGAUAACCAUUGGAAACGAUGGCUAAUACCGCAUAAUGCCUACGGGCCAAAGAGGGGGACCUUCGGGCCUCUCGCGUCAGGAUAUGCCUAGGUGGGAUUAGCUAGUUGGUGAGGUAAGGGCUCACCAAGGCGACGAUCCCUAGCUGGUCUGAGAGGAUGAUCAGCCACACUGGAACUGAGACACGGUCCAGACUCCUACGGGAGGCAGCAGUGGGGAAUAUUGCACAAUGGGCGCAAGCCUGAUGCAGCCAUGCCGCGUGUGUGAAGAAGGCCUUCGGGUUGUAAAGCACUUUCAGUCGUGAGGAAGGUAGU
rnacentral:rRNA from 1 species